UACGUAGGUGGCAAGCGUUGUCCGGAUUUACUGGGUGUAAAGGGCGUGUAGCCGGGCUGACAAGUCAGAUGUGAAAUCCGGGGGCUCAACCCCCGAACUGCAUUUGAAACUGUUGGUCUUGAGUAUCGGAGAGGCAGGCGGAAUUCCUAGUGUAGCGGUGAAAUGCGUAGAUAUUAGGAGGAACACCAGUGGCGAAGGCGGCCUGCUGGACGACAACUGACGGUGGGGCGCGAAAGCGUGGGGAGCAAACAGG
rnacentral:rRNA from 1 species